rnacentral:rRNA from 1 species
AUUGAACGCUGGCGGCAUGCUUUACACAUGCAAGUCGAACGGUAACAGGCCGCAAGGUGCUGACGAGUGGCGAACGGGUGAGUAAUGCAUCGGAACGUGCCCAGUCGUGGGGGAUAACGCAGCGAAAGCUGUGCUAAUACCGCAUACGAUCUAUGGAUGAAAGCGGGGGACCGUAAGGCCUCGCGCGAUUGGAGCGGCCGGUGUCAGAUUAGGUAGUUGGUGGGGUAAAGGCCUACCAAGCCGGAGAUCGGUAGCUGGUCUGAGAGGACGACCAGCCACACGGGGACUGAGACACGGCCCAGGCUCCUACGGGAGGCAGCAGUGGGGAAUUUUGGACAAUGGGCGCAAGCCUGAUCCAGCAAUGCCGCGUGCAGGAAGAAGGCCUUCGGGUUGUAAACUGCUUUUGUACGGAACGAAACGGUCUGGGUUAAUACCCUGGGCUAAUGACGGUACCGUAAGAAUAAGCACCGGCUAACUACGUGCCAGCAGCCGCAGUAA